rnacentral:rRNA from 1 species
UACGAAGGGGGCUAGCGUUGUUCGGAGUUACUGGGCGUAAAGCGUGCGUAGGCGGUUUUGUAAGUUUGGUGUGAAAUCUCCCGGCUCAACUGGGAGGGUGCGCCGAAAACUGCAAGGCUGGAGUAUGGGAGAGGUAGGCGGAAUUCCUGGUGUAGCGGUGAAAUGCGUAGAUAUCAGGAGGAACACCUGUGGUGUAGACGGCUUACUGGACCAUGACUGACGCUGAGGCACGAAAGCGUGGGGAGCAAACAGG